GAUGAACGCUGGCGGCGUGCCUAAUACAUGCAAGUCGAGCUAACAGACGAGGAGCUUGCUCCUCUGACGUUAGCGGCGGACGGGUGAGUAACACGUGGAUAACCUACCUAUAAGACUGGGAUAACUUCGGGAAACCGGAGCUAAUACCGGAUAAUAUAUUGAACCGCAUGGUUCAAUAGUGAAAGACGGUUUUGCUGUCACUUAUAGAUGGAUCCGCGCCGCAUUAGCUAGUUGGUAAGGUAACGGCUUACCAAGGCAACGAUGCGUAGCCGACCUGAGAGGGUGAUCGGCCACACUGGAACUGAGACACGGUCCAGACUCCUACGGGAGGCAGCAGUAGGGAAUCUUCCGCAAUGGGCGAAAGCCUGACGGAGCAACGCCGCGUGAGUGAUGAAGGUCUUCGGAUCGUAAAACUCUGUUAUUAGGGAAGAACAAAUGUGUAAGUAACUAUGCACGUCUUGACGGUACCGAAUCAGAAAGCCACGGCUAACUACGU
rnacentral:rRNA from 1 species